rnacentral:rRNA from 1 species
GAUGAACGCUGGCGGCGUGCCUAAUACAUGCAAGUCGAGCGAACGGACGAGAAGCUUGCUUUUCUGAUGUUAGCGGCGGACGGGUGAGUAACACGUGGAUAACCUACCUAUAAGACUGGGAUAACUUCGGGAAACCGGAGCUAAUAUCGGAUAAUAUUUUGAACCGCAUGGUUCAAAAGUGAAAGACGGUCUUGCUGUCACUUAUAGAUGGAUCCGCGCUGCAUUAGCUAGUUGGUAAGGUAACGGCUUACCAAGGCAACGAUGCAUAGCCGACCUGAGAGGGUGAUCGGCCACACUGGAACUGAGACACGGUCCAGACUCCUACGGGAGGCAGCAGUAGGGAAUCUUCCGCAAUGGGCGAAAGCCUGACGGAGCAACGCCGCGUGAGUGAUGAAGGUCUUCGGAUCGUAAAACUCUGUUAUUAGGGAAGAACAUAUGUGUAAGUAACUGUGCACAUCUUGACGGUACCUAAUCAGAAAGCCACGGCUAACUACG